rnacentral:rRNA from 2 species
GGGUUGUGAGGUUAAGCGACUAAGCGUACACGGUGGAUGCCCUGGCAGUCAGAGGCGAUGAAGGACGUGCUAAUCUGCGAAAAGCGCCGGCGAGGUGAUAUGAACCCUUGACCCGGCGAUGUCCGAAUGGGGAAACCCAGUGCAAUCCGUUGCACUAUCGUUAACUGAAUACAUAGGUUAACGAGGCGAACCGGGGGAACUGAAACAUCUAAGUACCCCGAGGAAAAGAAAUCAACCGAGAUUCCCCCAGUAGCGGCGAGCGAACGGGGAGCAGCCCGGAGUCUGAAUCAGCUUGUGUGUUAGUGGAACGGUCUGGAAAGUCCGACGGUACAGGGUGAUAGUCCCGUACACGAAAGCACACAUGCUGUGAACUCGAAGAGUAGGGCGGGACACGUGGUAUCCUGUCUGAAUAUGGGGGGACCAUCCUCCAAGGCUAAAUACUCCUGACUGACCGAUAGUGAACCAGUACCGUGAGGGAAAGGCGAAAAGAACCCCGGCGAGGGGAGUGAAAAAGAACCUGAAACCGUGUACGUACAAGCAGUGGGAGCCUCUUUAUGGGGUGACUGCGUACCUUUUGUAUAAUGGGUCAGCGACUUAUAUUCUGUAGCAAGGUUAACCGUAUAGGGGAGCCGAAGGGAAACCGAGUCUUAACUGGGCGUUAAGUUGCAGGGUAUAGACCCGAAACCCGGUGAUCUAGCCAUGGGCAGGUUGAAGGUUGGGUAACACUAACUGGAGGACCGAACCGACUAAUGUUGAAAAAUUAGCGGAUGACCUGUGGCUGGGGGUGAAAGGCCAAUCAAACCGGGAGAUAGCUGGUUCUCCCCGAAAGCUAUUUAGGUAGCGCCUCGUGAACUCAUCUUCGGGGGUAGAGCACUGUUUCGGCUAGGGGGCCAUCCCGGCUUACCAACCCGAUGCAAACUACGAAUACCGAAGAAUGUUAUCACGGGAGACACACGGCGGGUGCUAACGUCCGUCGUGAAGAGGGAAACAACCCAGACCGCCAGCUAAGGUCCCAAAGUCAUGGUUAAGUGGGAAACGAUGUGGGAAGGCACAGACAGCCAGGAUGUUGGCUUAGAAGCAGCCAUCAUUUAAAGAAAGCGUAAUAGCUCACUGGUCGAGUCGGCCUGCGCGGAAGAUGUAACGGGGCUAAACCAUGCACCGAAGCUGCGGCAGCGACACUAUGUGUUGUUGGGUAGGGGAGCGUUCUGUAAGCCGUUGAAGGUGUGCUGUGAGGCAUGCUGGAGGUAUCAGAAGUGCGAAUGCUGACAUAAGUAACGAUAAAGCGGGUGAAAAGCCCGCUCGCCGGAAGACCAAGGGUUCCUGUCCAACGUUAAUCGGGGCAGGGUGAGUCGACCCCUAAGGCGAGGCCGAAAGGCGUAGUCGAUGGGAAACAGGUUAAUAUUCCUGUACUUGGUGUUACUGCGAAGGGGGGACGGAGAAGGCUAUGUCAGCCGGGCGACGGUUGUCCCGGUUUAAGCAUGUAGGCGGAGGUUCCAGGUAAAUCCGGUACCUUAUUAACGCUGAGGUGUGAUGACGAGGCACUACGGUGCUGAAGUGAUAAAUGCCCUGCUUCCAGGAAAAGCCUCUAAGCAUCAGGUAACACGAAAUCGUACCCCAAACCGACACAGGUGGUCAGGUAGAGAAUACCAAGGCGCUUGAGAGAACUCGGGUGAAGGAACUAGGCAAAAUGGUGCCGUAACUUCGGGAGAAGGCACGCUGAUGUGUAGGUGAAGUCCCUGCGGACGGAGCUGAAAUCAGUCGAAGAUACCAGCUGGCUGCAACUGUUUAUUAAAAACACAGCACUGUGCAAACACGAAAGUGGACGUAUACGGUGUGACGCCUGCCCGGUGCCGGAAGGUUAAUUGAUGGGGUUAGCGGCAACGCGAAGCUCUUGAUCGAAGCCCCGGUAAACGGCGGCCGUAACUAUAACGGUCCUAAGGUAGCGAAAUUCCUUGUCGGGUAAGUUCCGACCUGCACGAAUGGCGUAAUGAUGGCCAGGCUGUCUCCACCCGAGACUCAGUGAAAUUGAACUCGCUGUGAAGAUGCAGUGUACCCGCGGCAAGACGGAAAGACCCCGUGAACCUUUACUAUAGCUUGACACUGAACACUGGUCCUUGAUGUGUAGGAUAGGUGGGAGGCUUUGAAGCGUGGACGCCAGUCUGCGUGGAGCCAACCUUGAAAUACCACCCUUUAAUGGCUGGUGUUCUAACGUAGACCCGUAAUCCGGGUUGCGGACAGUGUCUGGUGGGUAGUUUGACUGGGGCGGUCUCCUCCCAAAGAGUAACGGAGGAGCACGAAGGUUGGCUAAUCCUGGUCGGACAUCAGGAGGUUAGUGCAAUGGCAUAAGCCAGCUUGACUGCGAGCGUGACGGCGCGAGCAGGUGCGAAAGCAGGUCAUAGUGAUCCGGUGGUUCUGAAUGGAAGGGCCAUCGCUCAACGGAUAAAAGGUACUCCGGGGAUAACAGGCUGAUACCGCCCAAGAGUUCAUAUCGACGGCGGUGUUUGGCACCUCGAUGUCGGCUCAUCACAUCCUGGGGCUGAAGUAGGUCCCAAGGGUAUGGCUGUUCGCCAUUUAAAGUGGUACGCGAGCUGGGUUUAGAACGUCGUGAGACAGUUCGGUCCCUAUCUGCCGUGGGCGCUGGAGAAUUGAGGGGGGCUGCUCCUAGUACGAGAGGACCGGAGUGGACGCAUCACUGGUGUUCGGGUUGUCAUGCCAAUGGCACUGCCCGGUAGCUAAAUGCGGAAGAGAUAAGUGCUGAAAGCAUCUAAGCACGAAACUUGCCCCGAGAUGAGUUCUCCCUGAGACUUUAAGUCUCCUGAAGGAACGUUGAAGACGACGACGUUGAUAGGUCGGGUGUGUAAGCGCAGCGAUGCGUUGAGCUAACCGAUACUAAUGAACCGUGAGGCUUAACCUUACAACGCCGAAGGUGUUU